ensembl:lncRNA
AGAAGAGCAUCCUUAUCGUGGGAGAUGGGCAAUCUCUACCAGAACGCACGUGCACAAACAACCUGCUAAAAUAAGCUUCAUCUUCCAGUGAGCCUUUCAAGAAAACACAGUCUUCUGUAUUGUACGUCUUGCCUGGGCCUGCCUAUGGGCAAGUCUGCCUAAUUUCAGGCUUCUUGACCACCAGACUUAAAGAUGUGAGAGGAUGAAAAAAGUAGAUAAGAUUCAGAACAGCCAUCUGGGGAAUGUGAUAGAGAAGUCAACAGAAGAUGAAGCCAAGAAUGGCUCAGCCACGAUGACAACUCUCCAGAAGUUUAGCGGUGUUGGAUCCUAGAAGCCUGAAGAGAGUUGAUUUUUCUUAAAAGAACACUUCGUAAGAUGUGAUGUGUACUUCUACAAGGAAGAAUCUGGACAUUUCUUUUUGAGAACUUUGCAUCCACUGAUGACCAUGGUUAAGAUUCAUUAUUUCAUUGAGAGUUGCAAAAUGGUAAUAUUCUAAUUCUAUCACUCAUUCUUUCAUUAGUUUAAAUUCUCCUAAAAAAAGAGAUUUCCUCUCAACCUACUACUUAUCCUGAGGUACAGCUUAUACACAUAAAGUCAGGAUCUGAUGAAUUCUUUCUCUUUAUUUGCCACUUUAAAAAAUGGUGGCAUGGUUCUUACCAGUGAGGGUUUUUGCUGUGCUGGUUUUAUUUGCUUGAUUUUUGUUGUCUGAGUACAGGCUAUGAGGCCAGACUGCCUGGGAUCAGAAUCCCAGCUUUGUCAUGUGACUUUGAGUGAGACAUUAACCUUUUC